rnacentral:rRNA from 1 species
UACGUAGGGUGCAAGCGUUGUCCGGAAUUAUUGGGCGUAAAGAGCUCGUAGGCGGUUCGUCGCGUCGGCUGUGAAAUCCCGAGGCUCAACCUCGGGUCUGCAGUCGAUACGGGCGGACUGGAGUACUGCAGGGGAGACUGGAAUUCCUGGUGUAGCGGUGAAAUGCGCAGAUAUCAGGAGGAACACCGGUGGCGAAGGCGGGUCUCUGGGCAACAACUGACGCUGAGGAGCGAAAGCGUGGGGAGCAAACAGG